rnacentral:lncRNA from 1 species
GCAUGAAAACUGCCUAGGGUUUCUGCUGUUGAAAAUUGUUAGGGCUAGGUAUUGGGCCAAUGCUGGAUUAUUGUGUUUUGGACCGUUUUUGGGCUUUCUGGCAUCGGGUUUGGGCUUAAAAGUAUUUGGGCUGAGUGUUGUAUUUGGGUUUGUAUUAGGCCCUAAAUUUGGGACUAUCAUUGGACUUUUAUUUUUGAUUUUAAAAUAUUUGGCUUUAAUUUAUACUUAUGCGGUCCCAAACUAAAAAUAAGCCUUACAACUUCCCCUCUUUGCUCAUUGUCGUGUAACGGGAAUAGAACAAAGACUUUAAAAUGGCCAAUUUUGCCCGGUCGUGUUGGACCUUGACGCUCUUUUUCUUCAAGUAGCUUUCUUCCAACCUACUGCGUCUUCAGAGGUAUAGGAAUUAGUGCUUCGAUCCACUCCACUGUAACGUCAGAGAGAUAGGAUUCGUACCUUGUAGCUUCUCAAAAGAACAAAAUUUGCUAUCUUUAAUCUGCUCCACUGUAACUUCAGGGAGAUAAGACUUGUAGCUUCAACUUAUUCUGCUGCAACUUCAAAGAUAAGUCUGGGUGUGAUCUGCUCCCUGUAACUUCAGAGAGGUAAGAUCUGCAAUUUUAAUCCGCUUCGCUGCAACUUCAGAGAGAUAGGAUUGGAUUCUUCUGUCUGCUCAACUGCAGCUUCAAGGAGAUAAGACUGUAUGCGAUAUGUUCUCUGCAACUUCAGAGAGAUAAGAUCUAUGGUUUUAAUCCGCUCCACUGCAUCUUCAGGGAGAUAGCAUUAUUGGCCUCAAUCUGCUCGCUGCAUCUUAAGGGAGAUAAGAUUCGCCAUCUUCAAUCUGUUUAACUGCAAUGUCUGGGAAACAAGAUCCGCCGUCGUGACUUCAAUCUGUUCCACUACACCGUCAGGGAGGUAAGAUUCGCCGUUGUGGCUUCAAUCAUUUUAAUUGCAAUGUUGGGGAAACAAGAUCCGCCGUCGUGACUUCAAUCUGCUCUACUACACCACUAGAGAAGUAAGAUUUGCCGUUGUGGCUUCAAUCCAAUCCACUAUAAUGCCAAAAAGAUAGGAUUCGCAGCCUACAGCUUCAAUCCGCUCCACUUCAGCUAAUCCAAGUCUUAACACCAUGGAGAUAAGAUUCACCGUCGUGGCUUCAAUCUGCUCCGCUAUAACGUCAGGGAAGUAAGAUUCGCCGUUGUAGCUUCAAUAUAUUCCAUUGCAACGUCAAGGCGAUAAGACUGGUGUCUUCGAUCUGCUUCGCUACCAGUAUAGGAAGGCAAGAUCUGUCAUUUUCAACCUACUCCACUGCUGCUCAGGGAGAUAAGGUUGGUACCUUCGAUCUACUUCGCUGCCAAUACAGGAAGACAAGAUCUGUUAUUUUCAACCUACUCCACUGCUACUCAGGGAGAUAAGGCUGAAGUUUCACCGGUUUGUUCUUUGGGGAACAUGACUGUAUAAUUCAAUUUAUGAACCUAAUUAUGCCUAGCGAUUAGGAUGUCAUUAUCAGAAUGAAUCAAAUGCUCCUAACUAGACGUGUAUGAAUAACAUUUGAAUGAAAGUAGAAUAUUAUUUUUUCUGAAAAUGAUCCCGCUUAGGUUGUCAUUACUCAAAGUUUAUUAAGAUUUUAUUACUGACGUGCUACAACGCUUUCUUGCUCGGCUGGCAUCUCCAAAGAAACACUUGAUCAGAUUGUCCCCACUGUAAACUUCAAAGUUCGAUCUACUGGGAUGCAAAAUUUGUACCAUCUUUCCCGCUGUAACCUAAGGAUAGAAAAAUCUGGCAUUUUCUCAAUCUUCUCUUAUCAAAAUAUGAAGCACUUUGGUCCCUUAUACCAUUCUCAGGGUAUCAUACCAAAUGCCUAUGCACAAAUGAAGGAUUUCCUUCUCCGAGGACACCUCUUCUUAUCACAAGGUGAUCACUGCUUAGUUGUUUAAUGAAGCUUUGUCACCAACACCCCAUCUUGUCCUUUCGUUCAAGCAAUGCUUUUGACAUCAAAAUCUAAAGAGAUAGUUUUAAUUUAGACUCUUCCUUCUCAAAUUUCCAACCUUUAAACUUGGUGCAUUCCAAACAAUAGUCUUGUUUCAGGUCCCUAUAUUAUUUAGAAACUCCUAGAGUAAUAUGCAAAAUUUCCUUUGUAAAAGUAUUAUUGGCCCAUUAAUCGUUGUUUCAAUUGAAAAAUGCUUGAACAAGACUAUCGAAAUGGACAAGAUGAAAUUUAUUGAAAAUAAAAUAUGAGAUAAAUAAAUCAUCAAGAAUAGUAAGAAUAAACGAAAAAAUUGAUUGGAAACACGUAUCUUGAAAAAGAAUAAAGUAUUCCAAGACAGCAAAUUUAAUAUAAAUAGUGGGAAGGCUAGGCGCCCCAGAUAUUGUAGUUUGUACUUCUCUACGUAGACUUUCUGAAGACCAUUCAGAGUUUGACAUGUACUUAGAAGACCAACAAUACUCUAUUGAUGCCCCAAGAUGUCGCAUCCACCUUUCUCACUGAUUCAGUCAUAGUAAAAUCACUGGAUGCCCCACUUGAUCAACAUUUGGUCCUUCCUUUUCGGGUUUUCAACUCAAAUCCCCUCUAGUUUCAAAGCGCCCUUUGCGAGUUUUCACCUUGGCCUCUCCUUUUUCUUAUUCUUCUUCUCUCUCUUUUUUUAAGAAAAGUACUUCUUAACCGAAUCUGAGUUUACAGGGUUUGGCAAAUCUUUGCCAUCCAUCUCGCUCAAGAUCAAAGCUUCCCCUGAAAAGGCCUUCCCAAUUUGGCAUCCAUUUCCCUCUAAAAUCCUUUUAUAUAGGAAGGAUCUUUUUCAACACUAACUCCCCUUCGUGGAAUUCUCUAGGACGAACCUUCUUAUUAUAGGCUCGCAUCAUUCGCCUUUGAUACAUCUGACCGUCUUGAAUAGCCUUUAGCCUUUUUCCUUCUAUUAAGUUCAACUGAUCAUAACGAGAUUGAACCUAUUUUGCCUCAUCUAAUUUCAACUCAGCUAAUACCCGGAGUGUAACAGCCCGAUUUUAGCUCUAGAUGGAACAGUGGUUUUGGGACCACAAAUCCGACGAGGAAAAUUUUAUUUUAAAAUUAUGACAUGGGUUGCAUUAUGAUAGGAAGGUUGCAUGAAAUUACUGAUAUGAAAAUUUUAUCGAAUUAGUGAUUAAUUAAGGAAAGGACCUAUUUGUAUAAAAUGUAGAAUUUGAAUUCUAGAAACUAGAAGGGUUAACUAGCUAUGAAAUUGUAAUACCCCGAAAAUUACUAUAAUAAGAAAGUAAGAUAAUAUCUCUGAUAUAGUAAAAUAAGGAAAUAAAGUGCUAAAAAGGGGUAAUUUUGAGUUAUGGCAAUAUUGGGAAGUAUAUUAUAACAUAUUAAUUCAAGAAAGGAUUAAAUUGCAAAAGUGAGAAACGUUUUGUUGCCCAAGAGUAAAUACUCAAAAGUUGAGGGGUUAAAGUGUAAAUAUGAAAAAGUUGAAGGACCAAUGGUGUAAAUAUUUUAAGGGUGGAAUAAUCUAGAAACUAAGAAAAAUGGAUGGAUUAGGACCAAAUUGAAAAAGGUGAAGAAGUUUGAGGGACUAAAUCAUAAUUUUACCAAAUUAAGUGAUGACUCAAGGAUGGAAUUUUAAAAGAUCAUAAAGGGCAAAAUGGUCAAUUAGAAGAGAGAGAAAUCUAGAAGAUAAUGAUAUGUUGGAGAUAUUUUAGAUUAAUAAAUAAAUAUUAGUUUAUUAAUAUUUUAAUUUGAUUUUUUUAAAUGAUAUUAUUUUAGUAUUAUUAAUUUAUUUAGUAUAUAUAUAUGUGGAAAGAAGGAUGAAAAGCAUCCAUCCCCACCAUUUUUGCAUGCAUUAACAUGAGAAGAAGAGGGGAAGAAAGAAAGCUUUGCUUUCUUUACAAUUUGGUCCUUUCACCAAAAAUCCAUCAUUUUCACUUAGAAAUCAAAAGAAUUUCCAUAUCCAUCAAGAGAGAAAGAUAACAAGGAGACUAUGGGGAGCUAGAAUAUCAAGUUAGAUUCAAGAAAUAGAAGCUGGAGGAGGGAGAAAAUCAAGUUAAAGAUUGAAAUCAAUGGCAUAAGGUAAGAACAUCAAGAUUUUUACAUACUUUUGAGUUUGAUAUUAUUGAAAAAGUAGGAAAUUAAUGUUAAGGUAAAGUUUCAUUAUAUAAGGUUCUAUAUUAUUGUUAUGUUAGUAAAGGGAAAUAAGAGAAAGUGAUGGAAAAUAUUGAAGAGAAAGGAAAGGAAAGUGUUAUAAAUUUAGUUAUCAACAUUUUACACUAAAAUAGUUUUGAAACAGCAGCAGUAGUCUGACUUUGAAAAUCUACCAAAAAUAGUAUAAAUUGAAUUAGAGGAUGAAAAAAAUAUGAAAUUAAAAAUUGUUGAGUGUAGUUUCUCAUAGAAGAAACGGUGUAAGCAAUGAAAUUGUAAAUUAUGAGAUAUAAUAUGUUUUCUGAGAUAAGGUUAGAAUGAUUUUGGGUUCCCCUGUACUGACUUUGGAAAAUCAUAAAAAACUUGGAGAAAAAUAAUUAGAGGCUUAAAUUUAUAUGUUUAAAUCCUUACAGAGUAUAUUUUUAAUAGAAAUAAAUGGUAACAUCAUGCGAAUUUUGUACUAGGAGAUGGUUAAUUUUUAGUGAAGAAGGGUCGGAACUGUCAGACAGCAGAACAUGGAUGACUUUAAAGAAUAAAAUGUACUUAUUGGGUAAACCAAAAAUUCUAAAAAUUUUAUGGUAAUAAGAUAUGUGAGUCUAGUUUCAGGAAAAAUUAACGGAUCUUAAUUUUUAGUUCUGUAGCUCAAGAUAUAAAUAAUUUAGUGACUAUGACUCAAGUGGACAGCUUUGAAUGAAUAUAUAAGUAAAUGGUGAAAUUAUAGAUAAUGUUACCUAUAAGCAUGUUAUAUACAUUAAGGAUGUGGAAUGGAGAGGAGGAGGAGGAAAAUAUAUGAUUACUCAACUAGCAUGAGUUUUCAUUAAAAAUGGCCAAUUUACAUGUUUUAGGUCCACGGACUAAAUUGAACAAAUGUGAAACUUUAAGGGUAAAUUUGUAAAAAUGUCAAAAAGUGACCAAAUUGCAUGAAAUGAAUUUUUUUAUUAUUUAAAUUACUAAAUUGAAUGAAAUAUUAAUUUAGAUCAAGAUUGGAUGGAAAUUCAAGAAAAAAAUAGAAAUUUUUCAAAAUGUCCCUGAAUUUUAGUAUUUCUGCAAUUUAGCCUGGUAAGUUUGUAUGAACUAUAUUUUGUGUAAUUUUAAUUGAAUUCAAUGCUAUUUUGUAAUGAAUAUUAUAUAUAUGUGUGUUUUAUUAUUGGAAUUGAAUUAUUAUUGAUAAUAUGUAUAAUUAUUAAAUGUUUUGAAAUGAUUAUCAAAAGCUCGAUUGGGUUGGAAGCUUGUUGGAGAUAUAUCACAUUAUCCACUGGUUCUAUCGGUAAUUUUGGAUGAUUUGAUCCUGGUUAUAAUGACUUGUAUAAGUUAAAUUGGUUAAUGUUAGCUCAUAAAUAUUUUGAUUUUGAUUGGUUAUAAAUAUGAAUGCUUGAUGGAAUGAAAUGCUAUGGAAUGAAAUGGUAUGGAAUGGAAUGGAAUGAAAUAAAAUAAAAUUUGAAAAAAAAAUGAAUGAAUUGUGUAUAAAUUGGUCACAUGCUCGAUCAUAAUCGAUAAACGUUGAGUUAAAUGGUAAAUACGAAUUAGUAUUGAAUUUAAUGAUAUUGGAUUAUAUGUGAAUUAUAUAAAAAUUUCCAUUCCUAGUGAAAUUGAUUUGAAUUGUGAACGUGAGAAUUUGUGAAUUUAAUGAAAUGAAAAUGAAGCAUUGAAUUGUUAAGAUUUGUGAAUUGCAUGAAUAUGUAUCGGGUCUAGUAGGCCCUAGUUAUUAUGAAUAUAAUAUUUUGAAGAUACAUUGUAAAGAAUUAUAAAAGCAUGUUAAAUAUUUUAAAAAUUUUAAUUUGGAUGAAAUUUUAUGACUCGAUUUAAUACGUUUACAAGUGUAUGUUUCGAUAAUGCCUCGUACCCUAUUCCGGCGUCGAAUACGGGUUAGGGGUGUUACACGGAGAAAAGGAAUUUCCACCUCAAUAAGUAAAACUGCUUCCAUCCCAUAAACCAAAGAGAAAGGUGUUGCCCCAGUCAAAGUCCUGAUAGACGUUUUAUAAGCAAAUAGGGCCAAUGGUAACUUCUCAUGCCAGUCUUUGCAAGUCUAUGUCAUCUUUCCUACAAUUUUCUUGAUAUCCUUAUUGGCUACUUCUACUGCGCCAUUCAUCUUUGGGCGAUAUGGCGACGAGUUAUGAUGUUUGAUCUUGAAUUGACUGCAGACCUCCGCUAUCGCACUAUUUUCUUGAUAUUCCAUUUGCAUGCGUUUCGCAGAUACCCUCAUAGACCUCCUCCAGAAUUUUCCUAGCUUCCACUGCGUCUACACAUCUUAGCAAUACCUGAUCCUUCCCUUUUUUGUAUAGGAUCUCUCUAUCUAGGACGUAGUCAAUGGCCGUUCUUCUCAAUGCUUUCUUAUCAUUCUCCGUUGCUUGAUCUGGAUACUCCCAAUUUUUCACAUAUUGCAAUAUAUUCAGAUACCAGGGGCAGUCAUCUUUCUCUUCUUCCUCAAUAUUAUAGCAAUGAGCUGGGGUUUCAGAAAUACUCAUCUGAAUAGACUUCGUGUCUUCCAACUUGUUCACUUGGAUCAUAGAGGCUAGGGUGGCCAACGUAUCAGCCAUCUGGUUCUCAUCUCGCGGAAGGUAACAAAAAGUGAUGACAUCAAACUCGUCCAUCAAUUCGAGAACCAUCUUUUGAUAACUGAUCAGUUUAGGGUCUCUUGUCUCCCAUUCCCCUUUGAGUUGAUAUAUCACCAAUGCAGAAUCCCCAUACACUUUUAGCACUUUGAUUUUACGUUCAAUAGCUGCGCGAAUGCCUAUAAUGCAUGCUUCAUAUUCUGCCAUAUUGUUCGUACAAUCAAAAUCCAGUUUGCUAGCAAAAGGAUAAUGAUCUACACUUAGAGAUACCAGAGCUGCCCCAAUUCCGUUACCCAUAGCAUUUGAGGCUCUAUCAAAAUUUAGCUUCCACAGAUGACCCAUUUGGGAAUUUUCUUCAGUGGCUACCACAUACAUCAAAUCCUCAUUUGGAAAAUCAAAAUUCAAAUGCUCAUAAUCCUCUAAGGUUCUGCUAGCUAAAAAGUCAGCUAUUGCGCUCCCUUUCACGGCCUUCUGACUCACAUACAUUAUGUCAAAUUCAAAAAGUAAGAUUUGCCAUCUAGCCAUCCUUCCAUUCAAAACAGUUGACUCCACCAUAUACUUUAAGGGGUCUAACUUUGAAAUUAGCCACGUCGUAUGAUGCAACAUAUAUUGUCGUAAUCUCCAAGUUUUCCAAACCAGGGCACAACAUAACUUUUUGAUAGACGAGUACCUCGCUUCACAAUCGGUGAAUUUCUUACUGAGAUAGUAUAUUGCCCUUUCUUUUCUUCCUGUCUCAUAAUGUUGGCCUAACACGCAACCUAUGGAAUUGUCAAACACUGUUAAAUACAAUAUUAAUGGCCUGUCCAGACUAGGUGGUGAUAGCACUGGAGUAUUGGACAAGUACUAUUUUAUUUUGUCAAAAGCCAUCUGACAUUCUUCAUCCCAUACACCUGGAUUAUGCUUCCUCAAAAGACAGAAUAUGGGGUCACAUUUCUCAGUUAGUUGUAAAAUAAACCGAGCAAUGUAAUUCAAUCUUCCUAGAAAACCUCGUACUUCUUUUUGAGUGUGCGGUGGAGGCAAAUCUCGUAUUGCCCUGACUUUGUAUUGGUCAACCUCAAUUCUUUUCCCACUAACUAUGAAGCUAGAAACUUCUUUGAUCUAGCUCCAAAUGUGCACUUUGUUGGAUUAAGCUUGAGCUGAAAAUUUCUUAGUCUCAAAAACAAUUUCCUUAGAACUUGAACAUGCUCCUCUUCCGUUCUGGAUUUUGCAAUCAUAUCAUCAACAUAAACCUCAAUCUCCUUGUGCAUCAUGUUAUGAAACAAAGCCACCAUGACUCUUUGAUAAGUUGCUCCUCCAUUAUUUAAUCCAAAGGGCAUCACUUUAUAAUAGAACGUUCCCCACAAAGUGAUGAAUGUGGUCUUUCUCAUGUCUUCUGGAUGCAUCUUUAUUUGACUGUAUCCAAAAAAGUCGUCCAUGAAAGAAAACAAUGAAUAGCCUGUCGUAUUAUCUACCAAAGUAUCAAUGUGAGGCAACAAAAAAUUAUCUUUUAGACUGGCCCUGUUCAAAUCCCUAUAAUCCACACACAUUCACACAUUCCCAUCUUUUUUAGGGACAGGGACAACAUUGGCUACCCAUUCUGAAUAUUUUACUUCUUGCAAAAAACCAGCAUCAAACUGCUUUUUGACUUCUUCUUUUCUCUUUAGCAUAAUAUCGGGCCUCAUUCUCCUGAGCUUCUGCUGAAUUGGCUUGCAAUCUUCUCUUAUAGGAAGACAGUGUACCACAAUAUCAGUGCUUAACCCGGGCAUAUCCUGGUAUAACCAUGCAAAGACAUCUUUGAAUUCACGGAGUAAUUCGAUGAGGUCUCGCCUUGUCUUGGCGGUUAUGUCAGUUUCGAUCUUUACCUCAUUCCCUUCCUCCAGGCUCACAAUCUCCAAUGAUUCCUUGUGAGGUAGAAUUUGCUUAUCCUCUUGUUCUACCAUUCUUAAUAAGUCUGGAGAUACACUACAGUCUACAUCAUCUUGAAAAUCAAGUGAUCCCUCUGAACACAUGUCUUGCUCAAAAAGGAAUUUUGAGCCUAAAGCAGCAUCAUUCAUAUCAUUAAUAUUCGGGGACCUAUGAUAGGUGCCAAAGAAUAUACAAAGGAUGUAUGAAUUUAUGAAAAAAAAUAUGAUUAUGAAUGAAUAAAAGAAUGAUGUGGAAAAGGAAUAAAAGAAUAAUUACUCGAAAAAGAAUAAAAAGACUACUGGCUCAAAAAAUGAAUACGAAAAGUGUAUAUAUUAAGAUCAUAGCGUUCAACAUGUGCAUAUUCCAUAAAGAAAUUCCUAUAUUUUAAAAAAAACAACAACAAGGAUGUUCUGGACUUUACUCUGAACAAGCUUUAAAAACUACAUGAAUCUCUUCCGCAGUCCAAUUGUUCAACUCGCUUCCAAGUUCAUAAGGGCGAAUCUCUAGUAACGUAUCUCUCAAUUGCGUCUAUGGCAUUGAUGUGAAUUUCUCCCAACCUUUCUUCAAGACCUUCCUCUUUAAGCAUUCUUCACUCAGGAUGAAUGAACCCCCCCGAUACAAAGGUCUUGGAUAUGUGAGGAAAAACCAUAGACUCCCACUUAACUUCAUUUCCACUCAGACGUGCCCUUCUUAUCUCCUAUCUUCUUUCUAUUUCCCUUCUCCUUUGUUUUAUGUCUGGCCUAUACCCUAGACCGAAAAGAUCAAACUUCUCCUCCAUCAUAGGUGCCUCAACUCCUCCCUGCAGAUUUCUUCCCAAUCCUCUUCCUGAUACAGCUCCUCUUCCCACCAUUAAUUGAAGUUUUGUAGUCUUGGAUAUCCUUGGCACUGGGAUUCUAUUCCCCUCAGCAAUAAAUGUUACAUUCACGAGCUCUAGAGAUUUGAAAGAACAUUCCACCACCUCCUCAUUAGUCUCCACGUAUGGUGCAUUACUGGUUACUGACGCGAUAAUACCCUCCUCGGCAUUUAUUGUCACCAACCACCCCUCUGACACUAACUUCAACUUCUGAUGCAGUGAUGAAGGCACGGCCCCUGCUGAGUGUAUCCAAGGUCUCCCCAAAAAAUAGUUAUAGGAAGGCUUGAUAUCCAUUACAAUGAAAUCUAUCUUAUAAGUAUUUGGGCCAAUCAGCAAUGGUAUCUCAAUUCUCUCCAUAACCUUCCUUUUUAUUCCAUCGAAUGCCCUUACUACAUUUUGACACGUUUUCAUAUGCGAGCUAUCCACAAGUAGCUUAUUGAGAGUAGAUAAGGGUAAUACAUUCAAUGCAGAUCCAUUAUCAAUCAAAACUCCCGGCAGCAUGUACCCUUUACACCGAGUAGUAAUGUGCAGAGCUUUAGUAGAACCCAUACCACCAGAUGGUAUUUCGUCAUCAUUGAAGAAGAUAAAAUUAUCAGCGCUCAUAUUGUUGACCAACUGAUCCAAUUUGCUAACUGAAAUAUCAUUAGCCACAUAUGUUUCGUUCAACACCUUCAUUAGCGCAUUUCGAUGUACCUCUGAACUCAUGAGCAAAGCUAACACAGAUAUAAGAGCUGGUUGCUUAUGCAGCUACUCUACCACCCUAUACUCACUGUGUUUCAGAAAUUUCAAGAAUUCAGUGACUUCUUCCUCCUUUAUUUGACUCAUUAAUCAAUAGCCUAGAUUCAACUGCCUUCUCUUAUUUUUGCUCUGCUGCAAAAACUUUCCCUUUCGCCGAUUCUGUUCGGGAUUUUAUCAAAUCUCAGUGCUCCUCACUACGCAUAUUAGAAUUUGUCUCUUGGUUUUCUUUUGCAAUGCUAACCAAAGCUUCCUUCCCCGAGAUUGUUACAUUGCACUCAUAAUUCCAGAGGACAUUUUUACUAUCCUUAUACGAAAAAUUUGUCGGCUUCUGAAUUACAAUCUUCGGUGUUAUCUGUGAACUAGCCUCGUUAACCUUAGGGCGCGAGAUGAUAAUCACAGGAUGAUUAAAUUUUAGAAUCCUCGUCAUUGACUUUGAUGCACAUAUACUCCAUUUUUCCUCUACUUCUUCGAAAAACUCCACUUCUCUAUUAUCCAUCAUGCUUUAGACCAGAGCUUUGAACUCCUCACAUCUCUGAAUUUUGUGUCCCACCUCCUGAUGGAACUCACAAUAAUUUUGGGUCUCACCACCUCCCUCUGAACCCGAGACGAUUAACCCGCUUCUCGCUAUUUCUCUCCAAACCCACCUCAAAGGGAUUUUUACUUCGGUAACGCGCUCCUUAACCCUUCUCCCCAUAUUUUCACUCAUCAUGUUUACCCCACUAUCAGUGUGAUUGGGUAACAGAUUUCCUGUACCAGAUACAUUAUCUACCUUGACAACGCCCAUACUGAUGAGCUUUUCAACAAGCUUUUUAAAAGCUGUACAAUGUUCUAUGGAAUGCCCCGUUAUUCCUGCAUGGUAAUCGCAUUGUGCAUUUGCGUCAUACCAUUUGGGAUAUGGAGACUGUAAAGGGGUCAAGUAAAAAGAGGUAACAACGUGUGCAUUGAAUAAAUUCUAAUACUACUCCUUAUAUGAAAUUGGAAUUGGUGUGAACUGGGGCCUCUCAGUACUUGGCCUCGCACCAGAUUCCUAUUUUGAUGAACCCUGUUGAUUAGCCAUUAUCUUUUUGGGCUGAUUCACCGUAACCGAUUUGUUGUAUGCGUUCACGUUGUUCACCUCACUUUCCUUUUUCUUUGAGGCUUGCCUUUUGUUAUUCUCUCCAACAUCAAUCUUCCCGCUCCUUAUAGCACUUUCAAUCAUCUCACCACUCAUGACUAUGUCAGAAAAGCUUUUUGUGGCACUUCCUAACAUAUGUGUGAUGAAUGGAGCUUUCAGCGUAUUUAUAAAGAGCAUUGCCAUUUCUCUUUCAAUGAGCGGUGGUUGGACCUGAACUGUAACCUUCCUCCAUCUUUGAGCGUACUGCCUGAAACCUUCAUUCGACUUCUUCUCCAUAUUUUGUAAAGUAAUUCUGUUAGGAACCAUUUCUGCCACAUGACUGUACUGCUUCAUAAAAGACUGUGCCAAAUCCCUCCAGGAACUAAUCUUAACACGGAUCAAUUGAUUAUACCAUUUAGAUCCUGCUCCUGUGAGGCUAUCUUGACAACAGUGUAUCAAAAGUUGGUCAUUAUUGACAUAUACAGUCAUUCUCCUACAAAACAUGGUGAUGUGCACUUUCGGGCAACUAGUUCUAUUAUACUUCUCGAACUCUGGCAUCUUGAACUUAUAAGGGAGCACCAAGUCUAGAACCAAACUCAAAUCCUUAGCAUCAAUCCCACCAUAUCUCUCAGUGCUUUCCAUCGCCUUGAAUUUCUCUUGCAUCUACUUUCACUUUUCUUCAAAUUGCCUUGGCAAUUCUUCUUUUGCUUUUUCCUUUUUAUCCGCCUCAUCGAAGUCGGGGAUAACAGGAUUGACAGGAUUAUUCUCAGGGUUAGAGCCUGAUCCAUCCUAGUAAUUCAUCGACCUUGAAGCAUCGGCCUGAAAUUGCUGAGGCCUAAUGGUAACAGAAGAUUUGCUAGGGUAUACCUCAGCUUGGGGUUGCGCAUGUGGAGGGGUAAAGCCUGGUGGAUACAAGGGUCCAUCAUCACCUUCCUCUUCAACAUUGGCCACAGGGCCCUUUCCUUUGUCCUUUCCUUCAGUCAACAGUCGCGUUAACUGUGUCAUCAUACUCCCUUGAGAUUCUACCAUUUUGUCCAUCAUUUUCUGUUGGAUCUUCUCAAGCUGCUUUUACAUUUGCUGCUGAAGUUGAUCCUGCAUUUCUUUUUGGAACUGCUUGAGCUUUUCUAACCUUUGGUCCAUAUUUUUUGAUUUCGCUCUUAUACCUGUAACGAUGUUGUAUUGGCUGGUUGGUUUCCAGGUUAACUGAGGAAUGAUUUUAAUUAAUCAGAACCCUUUAAUAGUUUUUAAUACAUAGAUGCGAUGUAUGAAAAUGAAUGCAAAAAGGCAUUAAUUCUAAUUUUAAUUACUUUCAAAAAACUUUAUUAGAAAAUAAAUCUAUUUACAUAGAAUGGGCUACAAAUAAGGAUUUGCCCUAAUACUUAAGACAUUAAUAUUUUUAAGUAACGAGGCCAACUCUUGUCCUUGGUCUGACUCCAAUUCAUACUUCACGCUCAACGUGUCGACCUGUAUUGCCAAAGCUUGUAGGUGAUCUGCUACCUCUCGAAUCUGAACCACAGCUUCUCCCAUAACAUGAUCCCUGUCUCUAACUUGAUUUUGGAAAUACUGAAGUUACUCAUUCUAACGACCUUCCUUUGCCUCUAGAUGCUCAAUCCGAACCUCACAAUUUCUUAAUGCUGCUUCUAACCCUUCUAUUUUACCCUUCAUCUCUUCAAUCUUGCUUAGACUUACCUUUAGCUCUACUACAGAAUUUUGACUUCUGUGUUGACGAAGAGACCCUUCUAACUCAACCACCCUGUCUUUUAGUUUGCCCUUUUCCUUUUGGCUCUCUAACAAGCUCUUUUCUAAUGUUUCAUUUCGUGCUUGAACCUCUUGAAAUUUUCUUUCCCACCGGUCUGACUUUUUUCUUUCUUCUCGAAUCUCUUCACACUACUGCUCUGAAGUUUUCCAAAGCCCGACAGUUCUCAUUGACAGACGCAGCUUCUUGUAAUCUAUCUUCAAGCUAUCUAGUUCUUCUUUGGCCUUAUUCUUUCCCUUCCUUAGUUUAUCAGCCUCGAGCUUCUGAACAUCCACAUCAAGUCUCAAAUUCAUCUUUUCCUCCUCCAUUUGCUCUAUUUUCUUCUCUAAUUUUGCAUUUCUUCUCUCAAAGUCUUGCUUUCUGAUUUCCAGCUCAGAAGGGACGACCCGCAAGUGCUCCUCUAUCGAUUGACUAUUUUCCUGACUUGGCCCAGAAAUAUUAUCGUUGAUCCUCUUAACCCACCACUCGCUAUACUCAGAAGUCGUCAUUGGACCCACAGCUAAUCCCUUCAUUCGGUGAGUCUGAUUCCAUGCAUUGGCCAUCUCACGAGCUUUCUUUUUGUAACCUUCACCCCCAUAUGAGAAUUCACACUCGGCCAGUCCCUGAGUUGCAGGCACAAAAUGCCUUGACCUGUAUUUCCUUAGCACUAACAAUGGGGCAUAACCAAUAGCUCCCCAAAUUCCAAGCAAAGGAACCCCUACCAAAAUCCCUACACCGAUAUAGGAUCUCACCUAGAAGUAACGACGGAGCUCUCCACUCGAUAUCCUCCUCUUGUAAAGUCUAAAAAAUUGCCAUCCAUUUCUCCUCCUAGAUGUCGUCCCUCCUUGGUGUAGCCAUUAUCUCCUUCAAUGGUGAGUAACUUUCAGAGAAAACCCGAUACGAAACUUUAUCUACCUUCCAAAAGUGACUGUGGAACCAUGCAAGUAGGAGCUGCGCACAUCCAAUGAAUCUACCUUCUCCUGCUCUCCGACAUGCAUUCAGUGACCUGAAAGUUUCUACCAAAAUUACCGGGACUGGUGAAACUCUUUUAUCAAGCCGAUCAAAUAAGUCAGGGACCGCCUCGUCAACAUGUCACAAAGUCUUAGGGAACACAACCAAACCAUCUAUACUUAAAGCAAAAACAUCUACCUUCUUCCUCGCAUCUGGGUGCGCUAAAAUGAGGUCUUUCAAAUUUUUCCAAGGAAUGCACCUGCUAUCCUCCUUUUGCUUGAUCCGAGCCGUAACCCACUGCUCACUCAUCCUCGUUAUAUUCAUCAACUUCUUCAAAAAGGUCGGUACAUUUACCGCUUUCGAGUAGAUUUUGUCUACUUGAAUCCUCGAACACCGAAGUAAAGCCACGUAUUCUUCUAUUGUAGGCACCAACUCGACCUUCCCGAACGUGAAGCAACUGUAGGCCGGAUUCCAAAAUUGGGCAAGAGCUCGAAAUAGAAGCUUGUCUACCUUCAUAUCCAGUAAAUAAGGCAAAUCCCCAGAAUUUGAAUAGAAUAACUAUCUAACCUCAUUAUUCCACUGAUCCCAAAUCUCCUUCAACUCCUGCAAGUUGUUCUGGGCUACGCUAACAUGGGUGAAGUCCCAUAAUUCUGAUACAUAUCCCACGGCCAAACAAUCACCUUUUUCGCGCUGUGUCAUCUCAGCCCAAGUUCGGACAGCCGCAUUGUCCUUCACUCUAUUAAGAAACCCAUUUCCCAUGAUAAACUUUCUAUCGAGCAACCGAAUACGAACCAACGCCUUUAUAAUAAAAUGCCAUGUAAUUGUAAUGCCAUGCAAUCAGAGUAAAACACAAAAAGUCAGUAUCAAUUACAUACAAUACGACCAAGAAAUAGUAAAAACUCCUAAUUAGGUGUCUACUAAGGUUAAGAGUAAUUCUACCUAGGGUGAGUUCUUAAGGUUCACUAUAUGCGGCUUCUAGAGCAAAAGUACCUGAACCAGCAGAUUCUUCAAUCCUCACCCAUUAUAGGCUCAUAUGGACCGAGUUCGAUUCAGGGGAAUAUAUUUCCCUAUGGCUGCACGGAGAUGAAAAUCUCACGAAGACAUAGGUACGGAUGUAUCCCGAAAGCAAUCCACUAUCCUGCACGGAGGUGAAAACCUCACGAAGAACUAGUUUCUCAUUCUCACUUAGAUGGGUAAAAUUGACCAUGAAACGCAAAAUGCAAAUAAGCUAACAAACUUAGGCCAAUCAAGGAAGCAUAUGAUAAAAACCAAUGAAUGCAAAGCGGAAAUCAUGAUUUAAAACAACUUUUUGAUUUUCAACAAAAAGAUAAAAAAUAAUCGAUUCAUGGCUCGACUCUCUAAAAGUCCUCAGUGGAGUCGCCAAGUUGUCGAAACCAGUUUUUUGAAAACAAAAAUUUAGUUGUCGACUUUAAAAAACAAAAAUUGGAGUCGCCACCGAUCAUUGAUUGAUGUGUGAUCGGCUCACCUUAAAAAACGAUUUUGGUCUACGAAAUUUGAGAAAAUAAGUUCGGGAGUCAAUUACGCACGAAGAAAGGGUUAGCACCCUCGUACGCCCAAAAUCGGUACCAAAUUAAUUGUUUAAUGUCUUGGUGUCAAAAAUUUGAAAAGAUUCCAAAAGAAAACUUUUUAUCUUGAAUGAAUUAAAAAAAGGACGUUCUUAUUUCAAAGAAUUUAAACGUCACACCUUAGUAAGUUAGGGCGCAACAUUUUUAAUCUUCAAAAUUAAGUUUGUCUUUUGAUUUUUAAAACUCGUGCAUUUAAACCUAAGAAGGAUAGGGCACAAUUUCUCAAAAUUCCAAAUACCGAAUAUUGCUUUAUUUAUUUAUUUUUAAAAAUUCUUAUUUCGAGAUGAUCAAAAUGUCAUGUCCAAUAAGUUAGGACCCAACAUUUUUGAAUUCCCGAGAAUAAGCUUUUAUUUGAAUCCAUGUGAUUUUAUCGAAAAAUAAAUACUUGGCUCUCUAAAUUCAUCGGAAGAAUUAAAGCCCAGUAAGUUAUGAUACAAUCCUUCUCGAAAAACGUGAAUGCCAAAUAUUUAUAAAUUUAAGAAAUAAAAUGAUUUUAAUACUUUAAUAAAAGCAAACAUUUUUUAAAGACAAAUAUGCAAAUAUAUAUAAAAUGUUUAAAAAUAUAUAUAAAAAUGUAUAUAUUUAUAAUAAUUUCUUUUUUUUUAAAUAAACGUAUACAUAUAUUAUAGGAAAUGCAUGUAUAUAUAAAAUAUAGAAAAUGUAUAUAUAUUAUAAAAUGUAUAUGCAUAUAUAUAUUCAGGUAUACAAGAGUUAUGAAAAUAAAAUAAUAGUAAAACAUAUAUAAAUAUGUACAUGUAUUUACAAAAGUUUAAAAUAUAUAUUCAUAUAAAAAAAAUAUGCGUGUAUAUAUAUAGAAACUUGGAAUAAAAAAUGUGAUAAUAAUUAUAAUAAUAAUUUAAAAUAAUAAAAAUAAAAAUAAUAGUAAUGUAAAAAAAGAGAAUGACUAAUUUGUAAUCCAAACAAAAAUUUAAAGGCAAAUUCGAAAUAAACAUAAAUGUGGGAGCCCCAUUGAACACACACACAACAGAUGGAGACCAAAAGAGAAAUUAAUCCAUUCUCCCAAAACGUUGCGUUUCAAUAAGGACCAAAUUGAAACAAAAAUAAAAUGUGCAGUAAAAUUUAAAAGAAACAAUAAAUUUAAUUUAAACACAUUGUAAAAGCAGGGGGACUAAUUGCGCAAAUAAACCACUUAGGGCAAAAAAGCGAGGACCCUGCUUGCGGGUCGGGUCAACGCGCGGGUCUACUCUCACUGAACGGCGCCGUUUUGCUUUUAUUAUGAAAAACAAAAAAAAAUUCUUAAAAAACAUUUCAUUUCCCCCUUUUUUAAAAAAAAAAGGAAAACAAAGGGGGAAACCCUCUGCUAGGGUUUUCUUUAACCCAAUUUUCCCCAGCCGCCGCAACCACCUUGACAGAUCUGGAGCUCUCCUCUGGCUCUGAUUCGAGUGAAGCAAAUAAGGCUACGCCCUCCUCCACGCAGGUAAGUGUACUUUCCUUUUAUUUUCUUUUUUGAUUUGCAAAGAGAUGAACAAAAGAAAAACCCAAAAGGAGGAGGCAAGAAAUCAGAAAAAUCACCUUCAAAAUUCAACUGCCGUAGUUUAUUUUCUCCUUUUUGUAUUUCAUUUUACACUGAUUUUUGCUCUCUUUUUUUGUUUCAAUCUGCGUAAAAAAAAUAAAAUCCCCCCAACCGGCUUUAUAUAGCCGAAUGUUAUAAAAAUUAUUCCAUUCUUCCUCUGUAUUUUGCUAUUUUUCCCAUUUUUUCUCUCUCGUUUGCUGUUCGUGAUUCGAUUUGUUGCAGGUAUGUGCGUGUGUGGCAUGCGCGGAGUGCUGAACGUGGGGCGUGCAGCUGCGGCAUGAAAACUACCUAUGGUUUUUGCUAUUGAAAAUUGUUAAGGCUAGGUAUUGGGCCAGUGCUGGAUUAUUGUGUUUUGGACUGUUUUUGGGCUUUCUGGAAUCGGGUUUGGGCUUAAAAGUAUUUGGGCUGAGUGUUGUAUUUGGGUUUGUAUUAGGCCCUAAAUUUGGGACUAUCAUUGGACUUUUAUUUUUGAUUUUAAAUUAUUUGGCUUUAAUUUAUACUUAUGCGGGCCCGGGCUAAAAUUGAGCCUUA